GAUGAACGCUGGCGGCGUGCCUAAUACAUGCAAGUCGAGCGAACAGAUGAGGAGCUUGCUCCUCUGACGUUAGCGGCGGACGGGUGAGUAACACGUGGAUAACCUACCUAUAAGACUGGGAUAACUUCGGGAAACCGGAGCUAAUACCGGAUAAUAUAUUGAACCGCAUGGUUCAAUAGUGAAAGACGGUUUUGCUGUCACUUAUAGAUGGAUCCGCGCCGCAUUAGCUAGUUGGUAAGGUAACGGCUUACCAAGGCAACGAUGCGUAGCCGACCUGAGAGGGUGAUCGGCCAAACUGGAACUGAGACACGGUCCAGACUCCUACGGGAGGCAGCAGUAGGGAAUCUUCCGCAAUGGGCGAAAGCCUGACGGAGCAACGCCGCGUGAGUGAUGAAGGUCUUCGGAUCGUAAAACUCUGUUAUUAGGGGAGAACAAAUGUGUAAGUAACUAUGCACGUCUUGACGGUACCUAAUCAGAAAGCCACGGCUAACUACGUG
rnacentral:rRNA from 1 species